rnacentral:rRNA from 1 species
AGUCAUAUGCUUGUCUCAAAGAUUAAGCCAUGCAUGUCUCAGUACAAGCCACAUUAAGGUGAAACCGCGAAAGGCUCAUUAAAUCAGUUAUGGUUCCUUAGAUUGUACCCACAUUUACUUGGAUAACUGUGGUAAUUCUAGAGCUAAUACAUGCAAAUAGCAUCUCCGACCGGAGACGGAAGGAGAGCUUUUAUUAGAUCAAAACCAAUCGGCGGCGGCUUCGGUCGUCGUCGUACAAUUUGGUGACUCUGAAUAACUUUAGGCUGAUCGCACGGUCUAGCACCGGCGACGCGUCUUUCAAAUGUCUGCCUUAUCAACUGUCGAUGGUAGGUUUUGCGCCUACCAUGGUUGUAACGGGUAACGGGGAAUCAGGGUUCGAUUCCGGAGAGGGAGCCUGAGAAACGGCUACCACAUCCAAGGAAGGCAGCAGGCGCGCAAAUUACCCACUCCCGGCACGGGGAGGUAGUGACGAAAAAUAACGAUACGGGACUCAUCCGAGGCCCCGUAAUCGGAAUGAGUACACUCUAAAUCCUUUAACGAGGAUCAAUUGGAGGGCCAGUCUGGUGCCAGCAGCCGCGGUAAUUCCAGCUCCAAUAGCGUAU